rnacentral:rRNA from 1 species
AGUGAACGCUGGCGGCUUGCCUAAUACAUGCAAGUCGAACGGAGUGGCGCACGGGUGAGUAAUGUAUCGCUAAUCUUCCCUACACUAGAGGACAACAGUUUGAAACGGCUGCUAAUACUCUAUAGUGUAGGAUGAGUCUAUAUUGUAUCAGCUAGUGGGUGAGGUAAUGGCUCACCAAGGCUAUGACGCAUAACUGGUCUGCGAGGAUGAUCAGUAAAACGGGAACUGAGACACGGUCCAGAAGUCUACGGGAGGAAGCAGUAGGGAAUAUUGCCCAAUGGGGGAAAGCCUGAAGCAGCAACGCGGCGUGGAGGAUGACACUGGGCGGAGCGUAAACUCCGGUUGUUAGGGAAGCGGUACCUAACGAAGAAGCACCGGCUAACUCCGUGCCAGCAGCCGCGGUAAUUC